UUAAAUAACUUUACUUUUGCAUAUAUUUUAUAUAAUGUGAUAACAUAAUAUAGAAAGAAUCAAGUAAAAAAAUGUCUAGUUAAUUUUCUUAACAAAACCACCUUUUAAAGUCGCAUACAUAGAGAUCAAGAAUUAUUCCCACUUUGCUUAUUAAAAAGAUGGCUAAGUCAAUAACUCUAGCAAAGAUUUCCUUACUUUUCCUUUCGAUUUCUGUUGUUUCAAGGAGAAAUGAAGUGGCUGAAGCAAAGACGUGUGUAGAAGUGUUGAUUGAAUCACAUUGCAUAAUAUCCAAUGAACCUUGCAUAAAGAUAUGCUUGGAUCAAUUUGGCCCCAAAUCCUCUGGUCAUUGUAGUUUCCCUCUUUGUGUAUGCUCCUAUGAAUGUACUGAAUAUGAUUAAUUACUAGAAUAUACCUUAAUUAUGCCUACAACUAUGCAUUUGCAAUUAUGAAUGGAGAUGAUAAGAUAUUUUCAAAUAAUUUUGAUUGAAAGUGUUUGGGAGUAAUGAAAUUCUAUCGAAGAAAUUAAAUAAUAAUUGCAAGUGGAAUCUGAGUGGUUUUCUUUUCGUGUGUA